CAGUCGCCACGGUAAUACGAAGGGUGCAAGCGUUAAUCGGAAUUACUGGGCGUAAAGCGUGCGUAGGUGGUGGUUUAAGUCCGUUGUGAAAGCCCUGGGCUCAACCUGGGAAUUGCAGUGGAUACUGGGUCACUAGAGUGUGGUAGAGGAUAGUGGAAUUUCCGGUGUAGCAGUGAAAUGCGUAGAGAUCGGAAGGAACAUCUGUGACGAAGGCGACUAUCUGGGCCAACACUGACACUGAGGCACGAGAGCGUGGGGAGCAAACAGGAUUAGAUACCCCAGUAGUCCCUGUCUCUUAUAC
rnacentral:rRNA from 1 species